rnacentral:tRNA from 1 species
GCCUGGAUCGCUCCGUUGGGAGAGCAUCAGACUUUUAACCUGAGAGUCCAGGUUUCCAGUCCCUGUAUGGACA